CCCCUGGUAGCUCAGUAGGUUUAGAGCGUCUGACUGUAAAAGUCAUCUUUAGUUGAUCAGAAGGCCGCCGGCUCGACUCCGGCCCGGGGGA
rnacentral:tRNA from 1 species